GUCCUGGUAUCUAUGAUGAGUUUAUUUACUACCACUGGGUCGAUGCCACUGCUGGUGGAGAUUUAUUUCCCCGAGGGUAUCACCAGCCCAGUAGUCAGCACUUUUUGUGAUGACAUGAAUUGUCAUUGAUAUGGUUAUAUUUAUUAAUUAACUGUUUACAAAAUUUAGAAUUUUUGAAAUACUAAGACUUUUCUUCCUCAGGCAUAGAUUACAUUAGCUGGAUUUG
rnacentral:lncRNA from 1 species